GCUCGUGUGGCGACGGGUGAGUAACACGUGGGUGAUCUGCCCUGCACUUUGGGAUAAGCCUGGGAAACUGGGUCUAAUACCGAAUAGGACUCCGGCCUUCAUGGGUUGGGGUGGAAAGCUUUUGCGGUGUGGGAUGGGCCCGCGGCCUAUCAGCUUGUUGGUGGGGUAAUGGCCUACCAAGGCGACGACGGGUAGCCGGCCUGAGAGGGUGACCGGCCACACUGGGACUGAGAUACGGCCCAGACUCCUACGGGAGGCAGCAGUGGGGAAUAUUGCACAAUGGGCGCAAGCCUGAUGCAGCGACGCCGCGUGAGGGAUGACGGCCUUCGGGUUGUAAACCUCUUUCAGCACAGACGAAGCGCAAGUGACGGUAUGUGCAGAAGAAGGACCGGCCAACUACGUGCCAGCAGCCGCGGUAAUACGUAGGGUCCGAGCGUUGUCCGGAAUUACUGGGCGUAAAGAGCUCGUAGGUGGUUUGUCGCGUUGUUCGUGAAAAUCACAGCUUAACUGUGGGCGUGCGGGCGAUACGGGCAGACUGGAGUACUGCA
rnacentral:rRNA from 1 species